UGAGAAGACGCAGGGAGAGGAGAGGGAUGCAGGGCCCAGGGAGUGGAAGAUCCUGAGUGUUAUGGGCUCUGAUGAGCAGCAGCCACGGGACUGGAGUGAACUGAAGUAAAGACAGCACUCCCCAGGAGAUCUGGGCGCGAGACAAGGGACAGGCUCCCCUUAGCUACAUGACCAUCUCCACUGGGGGGUAGCACUGCUCACCACCUUCCCCAUGACGGGAUUUACAACCAACAGACACUGUCCCACCAGUGUCCCCCGUGUGUGAUGCUUGCAAGUCCAUGAUAUAGUGGCGCUAUAAUUAACCCCAUCUUACAGAUAGCAAAAUUCAGGCCAAGAGAGUUCAAGUACAUUGCCCAGGAUUACACAGCUAUUUAAUGGCAGAGCUGGGAUCUGAACCCAGGCAGUCUGAUGAGAUAGCCCACACCCUUAACCUCUGUGGACACAGCACAGCAGCAAACCCAUAUUGCCUGGACGGCACUCCGGUGACUGAAGUUGGGAAGCAGUGUUCCAGAGAUGCUUCCUCAGGCAUUGCGGAAUGCCACAAGCCCAAAGGGUAUGUGUAGGGAAUACUUAAGUUUUAUGACGCGCUCCGUGAAUUUAAAUUUGCUGCAAAAUCAUGAAGAAUUCGUUGGCCUGUCAGCCUCUGAACAAGCCCAGAGAUGGUUGUUUUAGUUUGGAUAAUGUGCAGCGUGGCCAUAUUAUGGGAACUUAAUGAAAUCUCUGCUGACAAGUACAUAACGUAAUAACGCCACACAAAUUAAAAAGCCAGCCAAGGGCCCAGGACUUGGGAGGAAUAGAGCUGAGCCUCAGAGAAAUUGAUGACUUUCAACAAAAAAUCAGGAAGCACGGUGGGUAGCUGGAGCUUCAUCUGUCUGGUGCAUCCUCACAUGUAGACGGCCAAAAAGCGACCUUGAGGAUGACUUCUGCAACCGUAAAACACAACUAGGCAUUAAAAC
rnacentral:lncRNA from 10 species